GAUGAACGCUGGCGGCGUGCCUAAUACAUGCAAGUCGAGCGAACAGACGAGGAGCUUGCUCCUCUGACGUUAGCGGCGGACGGGUGAGUAACACGUGGAUAACCUACCUAUAAGACUGGGAUAACUUCGGGAAACCGGAGCUAAUACCGGAUAAUAUAUUGAACCGCAUGGUUCAAUAGUGAAAGACGGUUUUGCUGUCACUUAUAGAUGGAUCCGCGCCGCAUUAGCUAGUUGGUAAGGUAACGGCUUACCAAGGCGACGAUGCGUAGCCGACCUGCGAGGGUGAUCGGCGACACUGGAACGGAGACACGGUCCAGACUCCUACGGGAGGCAGCAGUAGGGAAUCUUACGCAAUGGGCGAAAGCCUGGCGGAGCAACGCCGCGUGAGUGAUGAAGGUCUUCGGAUCGUAAAACUCUGUUAUUAGGGAAGAACAAAUGUGUAAGUAGCUAUGCACGUCUUGACGGUACCUAGUCAGAAAGCCACGGCUAACUACGUG
rnacentral:rRNA from 1 species